rnacentral:rRNA from 1 species
CCGCCAGACUCCUACGGGAGGCAGCAGUGGGGGAUAUUGGACAAUGGGGGGAACCCUGAUCCAGCGACGCCGCGUGAGUGAAGAAGUAUCUCGGUAUGUAAAGCUCUAUCAGCAGGGAAGAAAGGAAUGACGGUACCUGACUAAGAAGCCCCGGCUAACUACGUGCCAGCAGCCGCGGUAAUACGUAGGGGGCGAGCGUUAUCCGGAAUGACUGGGCGUAAAGGGAGUGUAGGCGGCCUUUUAAGUUAUGUGUGAAAGCCCACGGCUUAACCGUGGAACUGCACAUAAAACUGGAGGGCUGGAGUGCAGGAGAGGUAAGUGGAAUUCCUAGUGUAGCGGUGGAAUGCGUAGAUAUUAGGAGGAACACCAGAGGCGAAGGCGACUUACUGGACUGUAACUGACGCUGAGGCUCGAAAGCGUGGGGAGCAAACAGGAUUAGAUACCCUCGUAGCG